GUUGGGUAGGGGAGCGUUCUGUAAGCCUGUGAAGGUGGCCUGUGAGGGUUGCUGGAGGUAUCAGAAGUGCGAAUGCUGACAUAAGUAACGAUAAAGCGGGUGAAAAGCCCGCUCGCCGGAAGACCAAGGGUUCCUGUCCAACGUUAAUCGGGGCAGGGUGAGUCGACCCCUAAGGCGAGGCCGAAAGGCGUAGUCGAUGGGAAACGGGUUAAUAUUCCCGUACUUGGUGUUACUGCGAAGGGGGGACGGAGAAGGCUAUGUUGGCCGGGCGACGGUUGUCCCGGUUUAAGCGUGUAGGCUGGUUUUCCAGGCAAAUCCGGAAAAUCAAGGCUGAGGCGUGACGACGAGGCACUACGGUGCUGAAGCAACAAAUGCCCUGCUUCCAGGAAAAGCCUCUAAGCAUCAGGUAACAUCAAAUCGUACCCCAAACCGACACAGGUGGUCAGGUAGAGAAUACCAAGGCGCUUGAGAGAACUCGGGUGAAGGAACUAGGCAAAAUGGUGCCGUAACUUCGGGAGAAGGCACGCUGACACGUAGGUGAAGUGAUUUACUCAUGGAGCUGAAGUCAGUCGAAGAUACCAGCUGGCUGCAACUGUUUAUUAAAAACACAGCACUGUGCAAACACGAAAGUGGACGUAUACGGUGUGACGCCUGCCCGGUGCCGGAAGGUUAAUUGAUGGGGUCAGCGCAAGCGAAGCUCCUGAUCGAAGCCCCGGUAAACGGCGGCCGUAACUAUAACGGUCCUAAGGUAGCGAAAUUCCUUGUCGGGUAAGUUCCGACCUGCACGAAUGGCGUAAUGAUGGCCAGGCUGUCUCCACCCGAGACUCAGUGAAAUUGAACUCGCUGUGAAGAUGCAGUGUACCCGCGGCAAGACGGAAAGACCCCGUGAACCUUUACUAUAGCUUGACACUGAACAUUGAGCCUUGAUGUGUAGGAUAGGUGGGAGGCUUUGAAGUGUGGACGCCAGUCUGCAUGGAGCCGACCUUGAAAUACCACCCUUUAAUGUUUGAUGUUCUAACGUGGACCCGUAAUCCGGGUUGCGGACAGUGUCUGGUGGGUAGUUUGACUGGGGCGGUCUCCUCCUAAAGAGUAACGGAGGAGCACGAAGGUUGGCUAAUCCUGGUCGGACAUCAGGAGGUUAGUGCAAUGGCAUAAGCCAGCUUGACUGCGAGCGUGACGGCGCGAGCAGGUGCGAAAGCAGGUCAUAGUGAUCCGGUGGUUCUGAAUGGAAGGGCCAUCGCUCAACGGAUAAAAGGUACUCCGGGGAUAACAGGCUGAUACCGCCCAAGAGUUCAUAUCGACGGCGGUGUUUGGCACCUCGAUGUCGGCUCAUCACAUCCUGGGGCUGAAGUAGGUCCCAAGGGUAUGGCUGUUCGCCAUUUAAAGUGGUACGCGAGCUGGGUUUAGAACGUCGUGAGACAGUUCGGUCCCUAUCUGCCGUGGGCGCUGGAGAACUGAGGGGGGCUGCUCCUAGUACGAGAGGACCGGAGUGGACGCAUCACUGGUGUUCGGGUUGUCAUGCCAAUGGCACUGCCCGGUAGCUAAAUGCGGAAGAGAUAAGUGCUGAAAGCAUCUAAGCACGAAACUUGCCCCGAGAUGAGUUCUCCCUGAGACUUA
rnacentral:rRNA from 2 species